rnacentral:rRNA from 1 species
UACGAAGGGGGCUAGCGUUGUUCGGAAUUACUGGGCGUAAAGGGCGCGUAGGCGGUCGUGACAAGUCACUUGUGAAAUCUCCGGGCUUAACUCGGAGCGGUCAAGUGAUACUGUCGGACUAGAGUACAGAAGGGGCAACUGGAAUUCUCGGUGUAGCGGUGAAAUGCGUAGAUAUCGAGAGGAACACCUGGCGGCGAAGGCGGGUUGCUGGGCUGA